CAGGACUUCCGGCUUGCCACAUCGGAGGGGCUGGCGCACAGGAGUAUUCCUAUUUUUUACUUUUGUUUAGUUUUUACCGGUCCACACUCAGCAUAAGAUAACAAUGGUGCGCUUAUGAACGGACGAGAGAUAACACAGCCUCGGAUUUUUACGGUAAUAGUUCCUUCAACGGACGGCAGCGCUGACAGAAUGGCGGCUGUGUUGCUCUGCAGGGAAACGGCCAUCUUGACAAACGGAACAGGAACCAGCUUGAACAGUUUCAAUCAGGCAGAAUCUUCAGUUCUAAUGCACAACUGCAUUUGUACUCAGUGACGAGACAAAUUCUGGACAAGAAGGGCAGCAAAAAAAAGCAGCUAUUUUCCAAGAAAAACAUCAAGGACUGGCUGAUAUUCUGCAGGAUGGACACACAGGGACAGCAGCAGACUGGGGCAAAAUGAUUUUCUCUGAUAAACCUUCCUUCUGAUUAUUUGAAGAACAAGAUGUAAGCGUUUCCAGGAGACUGGUGUAGCUCCAAAAGGGAAACAUCCAGAUAAAAUAAAUGUGUGGGGCUUCUCA